UGAGUUACAGCAAGCCUCCUGCCCUGGC
rnacentral:piRNA from 1 species